rnacentral:rRNA from 1 species
CCUACGGGCGGCAGCAGUGGGGAAUAUUGCGCAAUGGGCGAAAGCCUGACGCAGCGACGCCGCGUGAGGGAUGAAGGUCUUCGGAUCGUAAACCUCUGUCAGCAGGGAAGAACGGUCACUGUGCUAAUCAGCAGUGAAUUGACGGUACCUGAAAAGGAAGCACCGGCUAACUCCGUGCCAGCAGCUGCGGUAAUACGGAGGGUGCGAGCUUUAAUCGGAUUUACUGGGCGUAAAGCGCUCGUAGGCGGUAUGUCAAGUCAAGGGUGAAAUCCCCGCGCGCAACGUGGGAACUGCCUUUGAAACUGGCAAGCUGGAGUGUGUGAGAGGAUAGUGGAAUUCCAGGGGUAGGGGUGAAAUCCGUAGAUAUCUGGAGGAACAUCAGUGGCGAAGGCGACUAUCUGGCACAUAACUGACGCUGAGGAGCGAAAGCGUGGGUAGCAAACAGGAUUAGAUACCCGUGUAGUC